AGAGAGAGACAUGCGCGCAUAUCAAUAAGCGGAGGAAAAGAAACUAACGAGGAUUCCCUUAGUAACGGCGAGUGAAGCGGGAAGAGCUCGAAUUUGAAAUCUUCAAGGUUUUACCUUGACGAAUUGUAGUUUAAAGAAGUGUUUUCUGCUGAAGUUUUGGUAAAAGUUCUUUGGAAUAGGACAUCAUAGAGGGUGAGAAUCCCGUAUUUGACCAUUAUUUUCAGCUUUGUGAUACACUUUCAAAGAGUCGGAUUGUUUGGGAAUGCAGUCCAAAAUGGGUGGUAAAUUUCAUCUAAAGCUAAAUAUUGGCGAGAGACCGAUAGCGAACAAGUACCGUGAGGGAAAGAUGAAAAGAACUUUGAAAAGAGAGUUAAACAGUACGUGAAAUUGUCAAAAGGGAAGCGUUUGACACCAGUGUUGUUUUCUCGAAAAUCAAUUAAAAAUGGCUCGAUUUUGUAUUGCUUGAGACCUUAAAAGCUCACUGUACAUUUUUCGUGUCUUUUUUAAUGCACUUUUCGUUUAACAAGUCAACAUCAGUUUCUUUUGUUGUAAAAGGGUCAUUGGAAGGUGGCUUUCUUUUCGGAGAAAGUGUUUAUAGCCUUUGGCCUCUGCAAUCGAAGAGACUGAGGUCUGCAGCGUAGACUCUUCGGGGUUAGAUACAUUUGUGCUAAGUUAUAGCUUUUUAUAGACAACUUGUUGACUAUAAUUAGUCCUUGUAGCUUACUCGCUUAUGCUAUUUUACCUACGCUUAGGAUGUUGAAGAUGUAGCACAUCAU
rnacentral:rRNA from 1 species